ensembl:lncRNA
CACGCGCCUCCCGCGGCCCCAGCGCCCCCUCUCCCUCCAGGGCCCCGGCUCUCCCGCCCCCUCCGGCUUGGAGCCCGAAGCCGCCUGCUCCCAUUUCAAAACAGCGAUAAUAAUAGGGACGCUGGGAAUAACAACUACAGCCCACACCGCAAAUGCGCCCCUCCCGCGGGUAAGAGGUCGGCGCCCCGCUCUCCAGGUGCCCAGGGCCCUCCGCAGCUCUGGGCCGGCCUUUCAAGGUUGCCUGGUCCCCCAGGCCCGCCUGGAACGCCCAACGGCCCCCCAUCUGCCCCUCGCGCUGCCCCGAGACCCCCAGGUCCCCAGGCCCAGCCGAAGCGCCCCGUCGGUCCCUCGGGCUUCGCAAGCUCACCCAGAGCCCACCCUCAGCCGCCUACGGCCCCCCCUCAGGCCUGCCCCGAACCCCUGUCUGCUCCUCAGAACCCCUGAAGACCCCCGUCGGCCCCUGCCCGCCCACAGUCCAUCCUCUACCCCUCAAGGCUGCCCAGGACUCCUGUAGCCGCCCCCCACCAAGGCUCCAGGCCCGCCAAGAGCCCCUCGUCGGCCCUCUGGGCCCUCCAGGCCCACCCCGAGACCACCCUAGCCCUCGCCUGCCCCUCAGGUCAGCAUGGAGCGCCUCGUCGGCCCCCGACCCCCAAGUCCGCCCGAAGACCACCGUCGACCCGCCGGCUGCCCCCCACAGGCCCACCUGAAUCCCCGCACAAGUCCGCCCGGAGACCCAGAGCGCCGUCACCACUGCCCCGGACACCCUGGACCCCAGGCCCGCAGGAGCCCGCCGCUCUGCUCCGCCCGGUGCGCAAGGCCUGCAGGCCGCGAGGCCGCCCCACGCCCGUCCCGAUCCCUGCGCGGCCGCGGCUCUCACCGGCUCCGGCUCCGACUCCGGCUCUGGCCCGCGGCUCAGCGGCGGCGCGCGGGCGAGGCCAUGCAGCCCCGGCCCGUCACCGGCCCGCGGCCCGAGCGGGAAGGCGGCGCGGGCUCCGAGCGCCGGAGAGGCGGGCGCAGACGAGCCCGCCCUCGGGCGGCGCCGCGGCAGUCUGGCUCUCACUGAGGGGGCGUCGGGCCGCGCGCUCGGCGGCGCCUCCCCGCUUGGGGCCCUCGCUCCAUCGCGCUCCGGCUCGGGCGGCCUCUGGCUCCGGGACCCGGCGGCGGCUGCGGCGGCGCCGGCAGCAUGAGACGUUCCCUCCCAUUGGCCCGCCGUAUCCGCCACCACCAUUGGUCCGCCGAGUUCGGGCACAGGGCUGCUUACGUCACGGCGUCGGAGAGGAAGUGCGCAUGGGACCAAGGGAGACGGCGAGAUUGACAGUUUGUAGGACGGGCUGGGGCGGGACCAGAAGGACGUCCGGGGUUGGAUUGGACAAGGUCGUGCGUCCAGGCGCAAGAGUCUCCGAGGUAGCGAGAAGCUGGAUUGGCUACGUGUUUCGCAAAGGGGGCGGGUCUUUUGGCCUCGAACAUGACGAUUGGCCUUUCCAAGUGCCGGAAGCGGCGAAGGGAACGGUCGGGAGCGGAUCUGGGCGGAAGGCGGUAGAAGGCGCGGUGUCGCGGAACGCACACUGGGAACGGAGAUCCUUCCAGCCGCGCGGCGGGGCCGAAGAGAAAAACACUGACUUCAACCAAAUACGGAAUUAAAAUUAGGAAAUAUGAAUAAGGAGGCAGUUUGCCUAGAAGUAAUCUGAGAACAUACUAAAGCAAAAACAAAGUGAAGUUCCACAGAAGCAGAAGCUAUGGAUAAAAAUAUACAGUAGCGAAAAGAAGUGCAGAGAAAAGGAAAGAAUGAAACCUUUGAACAUAUUAAUUCACAAAUGUUUACUGAGUGUCUUUUACCAGCCAGGCACUAAAUCAGGCACUGGAAACGAACUGGAACAGCAACUCUAUCUACCAGCAUGUGGUUUCUCACCAUGGAGGGAAGACACACCUUCGUUGAAUACAAGUACCUAAUUACAGGCUGUGAUAAGUGCUUUGAAAGAAAAGUAUAGGGAGUUAUGAAGGAAUACUGAGUGAAAAUCAGGUCUAGUCUGAGCAGUGGCUUGACACUUAAGGUGCUGCCAGAAGGCUGAAGAGGAAGUAGGAGUAAGACGUGGUGGAGAAUAUCCAGUAAGGUGGCUUCUAGCCACAUGUGACAAGCACUAGAAAUGUGGCAAGUCCAGGUUGACAUGUGCUGUGAAUAUAAAAUAUCGGGUUUCGAAGGUGUGGUGUGAAGAAAAGAAUGUAAAAUGUAAAAAAGUAAAUCUUUGUAUUUUUUACAUGUGUGUGUGCUUAGUCACUCCCCCUUUGCAACCCUAUGGACUGUAGCCCACCAGGCUCCUCAAUCCAUGGGAUUCUGCAGGCAAGAAUACUGCGAUGAGUUGCCAUGCCAUGCGCUGCUCCAAAGGAUCUUCCCAACCUAGGGAUAGAACCCACAUCUCCUGCAUUCCAGGCAGAUUCUUUGAACAACCAGGGAAGUCCUACUACAUGUGAAAAUGAUAGUGUUUGGGACAAUUGCAUUAAAAUAUAGUGUUAAAAUUAAUGAAAUCUUCUUUUUUCUUUUUAAUUGUAGCCACUUAGGAAUUUUAAAUGACAUCUCCUGGCUGCAUUCCGCUUCUGUUGGACCGCCCUGGGCAAAGGGGCGGCCUAACCCAUCUCCUUUAGA